ACCGUGCUGUCUCCUCCUAUAUUGCAGCGCGGGCCGCGCUGCGUUAAUGUCCCAGGUGCCCACGUCUAAAAUCGAUACCUUGCCUCUCCUUAACCUAAUCAAACUCUUUCACCACUCCUUCACCUCUCCUUCACCUAAUAAAAUUCCACCACUUCUCUUCCACUACUUCAAAUUCCAACCCUCAUUAAAAUCACCAAGCAUGACAACAUCUCAUAACUCCUUAUCC
rnacentral:lncRNA from 1 species